GCUGGGUGUGGAGGCACACACCUGUAAUCCCAGCAACUUGGGAGGCUGAGGCAGGAGGAUUGCAGGUUGAAGGCCAGCCUCCACAACUUAGAACCUGUCUCAA
rnacentral:sRNA from 1 species